ACAAUCCAUGGCUAAUUCUAAAUUACACACGUGAGUUUUGCCUUUUUUGUUCUUGUUGGCCAAUUGAAAAUAGUCACAAUCUCAGAUUUCUAGUAUUUUAUAUUAGAGCUUGUACAUGUGUUGUUUAAUCUGCAGGCUCAUCAGCCAAGCCAUCCUUUUGGAUUUUGGUAGACAUAAUGGAGUAUAUUCAGCCACAUUGCUUGUAGCCAAAACAAGUACUCGAAGAAAAAGUCAAUGAUGUGGUGCAAGAAGUGUGAGAACUUCAGUUUCUUAUAGCUGGUAGAUCUCCACGUGAUAGCUCUGGUGAAAUCUAGCAUGAUCAAGUAAAUUGGUCUCAUACAUUGUUUUUCUAUGCUCUUAUACUUUGUGCCAAUUUAUUUACACAGACUAACUUCAAUAAAUUACUCAAUGUUUUUGUAGGACUGGCAGUGCACAGUAAUAUAGGAGCGUCAAGAGGCAUUGUUAUGGCUGAUGAAGAAUGAUCCAUUCAAACAACAAUGGUGUCCCUCAAUCGAAGAUUAAUAAAUAUAAUGUUUUCUAGUUGUCUCGCUUUCCAGUUAGAUAUGAGCAAGUAUGUGGUCAUACAAGGAGUGUUUUAUAAUUCCAGAAUUAUAUGUCAGAAUUUUGUUAACUUAUAUGAUUUCUAUUAAUGAAAGAGGCUAUGAUCUUUUUCAAUUCACAUUAUUUUGUUUUCAU
rnacentral:lncRNA from 1 species